rnacentral:rRNA from 1 species
CCCUUAGAUGUUCUGGGCCGCACGCGUGCUACACUGAGUGGAUCAGCGGGUCAGGUUGCGCGAAAGUGUUUCCUAAUCUUUAAAUCCGCUCGUGAUGGGGAUUGACGGUUGCAAUUUUCCGUCAUGAACGAGGAAUACCUUGUAAGCGCGGGUCAUCAUCCCGCGCUGAAUACGUCCCUGCCCUUUGUACACACCGCCCGUCGCUCCUACCGAUUGAGUGGUCCGGUGAGGCUUUGGGAUCUGGGCGGAAAGAGCGUUUCGCUGUUUCUGCCCGGAAAACUCAGCCGAACCUUAUCAUUUAGAGGAAGGAGAAGUCGUAACA